GAACCCUGGCGGCGUGCUUAACACAUGCAAGUCGAACGGUGAAGCCCAGCUUGCUGGGUGGAUCAGUGGCGAACGGGUGAGUAACACGUGAGCAAUCUGCCCCUGACUCUGGGAUAAGCGCUGGAAACGGCGUCUAAUACUGGAUAUGAACCGUGGAGGCAUCUUCAACGGUUGGAAAGAUUUUUUGGUCAGGGAUGAGCUCGCGGCCUAUCAGCUUGUUGGUGAGGUAAUGGCUCACCAAGGCGUCGACGGGUAGCCGGCCUGAGAGGGUGACCGGCCACACUGGGACUGAGACACGGCCCAGACUCCUACGGGAGGCAGCAGUGGGGAAUAUUGCACAAUGGGCGCAAGCCUGAUGCAGCAACGCCGCGUGAGGGAUGACGGCCUUCGGGUUGUAAACCUCUUUUAGCAGGGAAGAAGCGAAAGUGACGGUACCUGCAGAAAAAGCGCCGGCUAACUACGUGCCAGCAGCCGCGGUAAUACGUAGGGCGCAAGCGUUAUCCGGAAUUAUUGGGCGUAAAGAGCUCGUAGGCGGUUUGUCGCGUCUGCUGUGAAAUCCCGAGGCUCAACCUCGGGUCUGCAGUGGGUACGGGCAGACUAGAGUGCGGUAGGGGAGAUUGGAAUUCCUGGUGUAGCGGUGGAAUGCGCAGAUAUCAGGAGGAACACCGAUGGCGAAGGCAGAUCUCUGGGCCGUAACUGACGCUGAGGAGCGAAAGGGUGGGGAGCAAACAGGCUUAGAUACCCUGGUAGUCCACCCCGUAAACGUUGGGAACUAGUUGUGGGGUCCAUUCCACGGAUUCCGUGACGCAGCUAACGCAUUAAGUUCCCCGCCUGGGGAGUACGGCCGCAAGGCUAAAACUCAAAGGAAUUGACGGGGACCCGCACAAGCGGCGGAGCAUGCGGAUUAAUUCGAUGCAACGCGAAGAACCUUACCAAGGCUUGACAUAUACGAGAACGCUGCAGAAAUGUAGAACUCUUUGGACACUCGUAAACAGGUGGUGCAUGGUUGUCGUCAGCUCGUGUCGUGAGAUGUUGGGUUAAGUCCCGCAACGAGCGCAACCCUCGUUCUAUGUUGCCAGCACGUAAUGGUGGGAACUCAUGGGAUACUGCCGGGGUCAACUCGGAGGAAGGUGGGGAUGACGUCAAAUCAUCAUACCCCUUAUGUCUUGGGCUUCACGCAUGCUACAAUGGCCGGUACAAAGGGCUGCAAUACCGUAAGGUGGAGCGAAUCCCAAAAAGCCGGUCCCAGUUCGGAUUGAGGUCUGCAACUCGACCUCAUGAAGUCGGAGUCGCUAGUAAUCGCAGAUCAGCAACGCUGCGGUGAAUACGUUCCCGGGUCUUGUACACACCGCCCGUCAAGUCAUGAAAGUCGGUAACACCUGAAGCCGGUGGCCCAACCCUUGUGGAGGGAGCCGUCGAAGGUGGGAUCGGUAAUUAGGACU
rnacentral:rRNA from 1 species